GUGGUUGUGGCUCAGUGGUAGAGCGCUCCCUCACAUGUGCCAGAUCCUGGGUUCGAUCCUCAGCACCACA
rnacentral:tRNA from 1 species